GACGAACGCGGGCGGCGUGCCUAAUACAUGCAAGUCGAGCGAAGUUUUUGUGGUGCUUGCACCGGAAAAACUUAGCGGCGAACGGGUGAGUAACACGUAAAGAACCUGCCUCAUAGACUGGGACAACUAUUGGAAACGAUAGCUAAUACUGGAUAACAGCAUUAACUGCAUGGUUGAUGUUUAAAAGUUGGUUUUGCUAACACUAUGAGAUGGCUUUGCGGUGCAUUAGCUAGUUGAUGGGGUAAAGGCCUACCAAGGCGACGAUGCAUAGCCGACCUGAGAGGGUGAUCGGCCACACUGGGAAUGAGACACGGCCCAGACUCCUACGGGAGGCAGCAGUAGGGAAUCUUCCGCAAUGGGCGAAAGCCUGACGGAGCAACGCCGCGUGAGUGAAGAAGGAUUUCGGUUCGAAAAA
rnacentral:rRNA from 1 species